AAGUCGUAACAAGGUCUCCGUAGGUGAACCUGCGGAGGGAUCAUUAACGAAUGGUCUCUUUUGACCUUCAAACCUCAAACCCGUGGAAGUGAAAUGUGCUUCGGCCUCGCUUGGGGCCGCUUUUAUGCAGGACAAAGUUUUGUGUCUGAAUCUGAUUUAUGAUGAAAACUUUCAACAAAGGAUCUCUUGGCUCUC
rnacentral:misc_RNA from 1 species